rnacentral:rRNA from 1 species
UACGUAGGGGGCAAGCGUUGUCCGGAAUCAUUGGGCGUAAAGCGCACGUAGGCGGCUUUCUAAGUCGGGGGUGAAAUCCUGGAGCUCAACUCCAGAACUGCCUUCGAUACUGGAGAGCUCGAGUCCGGGAGAGGUGAGUGGAACUGCGAGUGUAGAGGUGAAAUUCGUAGAUAUUCGCAAGAACACCAGUGGCGAAGGCGGCUCACUGGCCCGGUACUGACGCUGAGGUGCGAAAGCGUGGGGAGCAAACAGG